GAUGAACGCUAGCGGCAGGCCUAACACAUGCAAGUCGAGGGGUAGCAGGAUUAAGCUUGCUUAAUUGCUGACGACCGGCGCACGGGUGCGUAACGCGUAUGCAACCUACCUUAUACUGGGGUAUAGCCCGGAGAAAUUCGGAUUAAUCCCCCAUAGUACUAAUGAAUCGCAUGGUUUAUUAGUUAAAGCAUUGCGGUAUAAGAUGGGCAUGCGUCCCAUUAGCUAGAUGGUGAGGUAACGGCUCACCAUGGCUACGAUAGGUAGGGGGCCUGAGAGGGUGGUCCCCCACACUGGUACUGAGACACGGACCAGACUCCUACGGGAGGCAGCAGUGAGGAAUACUGGUCAAUGGGCGCAAGCCUGAACCAGCCAUGCCGCGUGCAGGAAGAAUGCCCUAUGGGUUGUAAACUGCUUUUAUUUGGGAAUAAACCUCUUUACGUGUAGAGAGCUGAAGGUACCAAAUGAAUAAGCACCGGCUAACUCCGUGCCAGCCGCCGCUGUAA
rnacentral:rRNA from 1 species